UCAUUACAACAGCUAUUAUAUACUUGAUUUUGAUUUCCUACGUGGAUAACUGUGGUAAUUCUAGAGCUAAUACAUGCACCAAAGCUCCGACUUUAUUGACGAGCGCCUCUAUUAGAUUAAAACCAAUCGAGCUUUAAACGGCUCGUUAAUUGGUGACUCUGAAUAGCUUAGCUGAUCGCAUGGUCUAGUACCGGCGACAUAUCUAUCAAGUAUCUGCCUUAUCAACUUUCGAUGGUAGUUUAUGUGCCUACCAUGGUUGUAACGGGUAACGGAGAAUAAGGGUUCGACUCCGGAGAGGGAGCCUGAGAAACGGCUACCACUUCCAAGGAAGGCAGCAGGCGCGCAAAUUACCCACUCUCAGCAAGAGGAGGUAGUGACGAAAAAUAACGAGACCGUUCUCAUUGAGGCCGGUUAUCGGAAUGGGUACAAUUUAAACCUGUUAACGAGGACCUAUGAGAGGGCAAGCCUGGUGCCAGCAGCCGCGGUAACUCCAGCUCUCAAAGUGUAUAUCGUUAUUGCUGCGGUUAAAAAGCUCGUAGUUGGAAUCCAGCUUGACGACAUGGUCCAUUUAUUGGAUGUGAACUAUGAUCGUAGGCUAAUCUAUGUUGGUUUUCCUUGCGUUACCUUGAUCGGUCGCGUAAGGUGGCUAGCGAGUUUACCUUUGAAAAAUUAGAGUGCUUAAUGCGGGGCUUAAAAGCCUGAAUAU
rnacentral:rRNA from 1 species